GCGGGCGACACCGCCCGCACCAUAGAGAGGGGGCGGAGUGCUGUGCCAGAGCGCCGCCAACACCAUAGAGAGGGGCUGGGGGUGCGGCGGCAGAGCGCCGCCAGGCACUGAGCUGUGGUCCGGCUGCGUACAGAGCUGCUUCGCAGAAACAUGGGGGCUCGUGAGUGGCAGCUGUGGCACCUCGGUUUCCACUGUUUCCAGUGUUUGCCUUUGCGGCCUUGAAAACAGGCUCACGAAAGAUUUUCCAGCUGGGAUGGAGAAACGUGUGGAGGAUGUUGAGGUUUCAUAACGUCAACCGGUCUUAUUUGUAAUUAAUUUCAAGUCUGUCGUUUUUUGUUUUUUUUUUU